AGUGAACGCUGGCGGUAGGCCUAACACAUGCAAGUCGAACGGCAGCACAGUAAGAGCUUGCUCUUACGGGUGGCGAGUGGCGGACGGGUGAGGAAUACAUCGGAAUCUACUUUUUCGUGGGGGAUAACGUAGGGAAACUUACGCUAAUACCGCAUACGACCUACGGGUGAAAGCAGGGGAUCUUCGGACCUUGCGCGAUUGAAUGAGCCGAUGUCGGAUUAGCUAGUUGGCGGGGUAAAGGCCCACCAAGGCGACGAUCCGUAGCUGGUCUGAGAGGAUGAUCAGCCACACUGGAACUGAGACACGGUCCAGACUCCUACGGGAGGCAGCAGUGGGGAAUAUUGGACAAUGGGCGCAAGCCUGAUCCAGCCAGACCGCGUGGGUGAAGAAGGCCUUCGGGAUGUAAAGCCCUUUUGUUGGGAAAGAAAAGCAGCAGGUUAAUACCCCGCUGUUCUGACGGUACCCAAAGAAUAAGCACCGGCUAACUUCGUG
rnacentral:rRNA from 1 species